ensembl:rRNA 5S_rRNA 5S ribosomal RNA
ACUUACGGCAACACCGGCCUGAGUACGCCUGAUCUCGUCCGAUCUCGGAAGCUAAGCAGGGUCGGGCCUGGUUAGUACUUGGAUGGGAGACCGCCUGGGAAUACCAGGUGCUGUAAGCU